rnacentral:rRNA from 1 species
CAGUAGCCACGGUAAUACGUAGGGUCCGAGCGUUGUCCGGAAUUAUUAGGCGUAAAGGGCUCGUAGGCGGUUUGUUGCGUCGGGAGUGAAAACCCAGGGCUUAACUUUGGGCUUGCUUUCGAUACGGGCAGACUUGAGGCAUUGAGGGGAGAACGGAAUUCCUGGUGUAGCGGUGAAAUGCGCAGAUAUCAGGAGGAACACCGGUGGCGAAGGCGGUUCUCUGGCAAUGUUCUGACGCUGAGGAGCGAAAGUGUGGGGAGCGAACAGGAUUAGAUACCCCCGUAGUCCCUGUCUCUUAUAC